ACUUCCUAAGCCGGAACGAAAAGUCUCUUUGUAGCAAUACAUUGACGCUUUUGGCUUUGUGGUUGUGAUGUUGUGUUUGCAAGUUGUCUGGGAAACCAGACUUUGUAGCGUAAGCUACUGUUUUUUUUCACUUCCUGUACAUUUACCCUGUCUGUCCAUAGUGAUUUUUUUUAAUGCACCGCAAUUGCGGUGCUUUUUUUC
rnacentral:other from 1 species